GGUGGUAGCCACGGUCCUGGUUAUUCCUGGCUUUGUCCAACCUCCAAAGUUAAUCAGGGCUGUGUCUGGUCAGUAGCUGGAUGGGGCACCGUCUGGGAACAGCAAGUGCUAUGGCUA
rnacentral:rRNA from 1 species